GGGGAAUCUUGCGCAAUGGGCGAAAGCCUGACGCAGCGACGCCGCGUGGGUGAUGAAGGCCUUCGGGUUGUAAAGCCCUGUGGGGAGGGACGAAUAACGGUGGGCGAAUACCCCAUCGGAUGACGGUACCUCAUUAGCAAGCCCCGGCUAACUCUGUGCCAGCAGCCGCGGUAAGACAGAGGGUGCAAACGUUGUUCGGAAUUACUGGGCGUAAAGCGCGUGUAGGCGGUCGGGUAAGUCGGAUGUGAAGGCCCCGGGCUCAACCCGGGAAGUGCAUUCGAUACUACUUGGCUAGAGUACUGGAGAGGAUGGUGGAACUCUCGGUGUAGAGGUGAAAUUCGUAGAUAUCGAGAAGAACACCGGCGGCGAAGGCGGCCAUCUGGACAGAUACUGACGCUGAGACGCGAAAGCGUGGGGAGCAAAC
rnacentral:rRNA from 1 species